GCAUCGGUGGUUCAGUGGUAGAAUUCUUGCCUGCCACGCGGGAGACCUGGGUCAGAUUCCCGGCCAAUGCA
rnacentral:tRNA from 1 species